ACUCCUAAGUAAUAAAAACUAUUUAUUUGAAGUUAAGAAAGCAUGAAAUGUUUACUUAUAAAGUGAUCAAGAAUAUUCAAUUUAUUACAUGCACUGCAGAACAAAAUAUGGCUCAGAUUUUCGUGUUUGUUUAUGCUUUGAUUAUCUUUCUUUCUCUAUCACUUGUUGUAAGCAUGGAAAGAGAGAAAGCUCCUUGCAAUUCUUGGCGUGAUUGUGAAGAAUUCGAUUAUUAUGAAGUUGCUUGCAUUGAUGGUUUUUGUGAAUACCAAUAUACCUGUGAAUAAUUAAGUUUAAAAGAGAGGAAAUUUUUUCAAAGUACAAACUGAUUAUUUUGUCGAUAAUAAUUAAGGGAGCUCUAUUUAGGGAAAUGUGGAGCUUUGUUUUGAUUAAGGUUAAACGUGAUUUAAAGUAUCACAAGUGAUAACGGGUGUUGAGUUGAAUCGAGAAUCUUUAUGGAAGCAUUGCGAGGUCUGACACUUUCUAACUAUACCAUACCAUGUCUUGAUUUAUGUUUUUAUGUGCACUUUUGUGUACAUGACUAUAUGACUUAAGUACUUGAAUUGGAUGUAUGGUUUGGUGAAUAAAAUAUGAUUUACAUAUGAAUAAAUAUGCCUGAAUUAUCUUAUUAUGUUAUUGACGAUGAAAUGAUUCAUUGUGCCUA